AAUAGCCGUUAGGGGUGUUACGCCCGUUGUCGUAACUGAGAUAAUACCCUUUAACCUGAUCUGGAUAAUACCAGCGUAGGGAAACGCCAAAUAGUAAAU
rnacentral:ncRNA from 2 species